AAACUGACACGCGGGAGCUUGGACCAUCCAGGCUGAGAGUGCGCUGAUCGGACCGUACGCCAUACAUCAUGGCGGCGGGCACGAGGGAGCGCAGACCGCUCGAACCUGUCCGGGUAAUGCCGGCGUAGGGAGCAUCGGCCAUGUCGGC
rnacentral:ncRNA from 1 species